AUUGAACGCUGGCGGCAGGCUUAACACAUGCCAGUCGAGCGGAUGACGGGUGCUUGCACCUUGAUUCAGCGUCGGACGGGUGUGUAAUGCCUAGGAAUCUUACUGGUUGUGGGGGCUACCGUCCGGAAACGGGUGCUAAUCACGCAUACUUCCUAAGGGAGAAAAUGGGGGCUCUUCGGCAUUCUCGCUAUCAGAAGAGCCUAGGUCGGUAUAUCUAGGUGGUGGGGUAAAGGCUUACCCAGGCGACGAUGCGUAACUGGUCUGAGAGGAUGUUCAGUCCCACUGGAACUGAGACACGGUCGAGACUCCUGGGGGAGGCAACAGUGGAGAAUAUUAGGCGAUGGGGGAGAGCGUGAUCCAGCCAUGUGGCGUGUGUGAAGAUGCUCUUCGGAUGGUAAAGCACAUUAAGUUGGGAGGAAGGGCAGUAAGUUAAUACCUUGCGAUUUUGACGGUACCAACAUAAUAAGCACCGGCUAACUACGUG
rnacentral:rRNA from 1 species